GUGUCAGCAGCCGCGGUAAUACGUAGGGGGCAAGCGUUGUCCGGAUUUAUUGGGCGUAAAGAGCGUGUAGGCGGCUUGGUAGGUCCGCUGUGAAAACUCGAGGCUCAACCUCGAGAUGUCGGCGGAAACCACUUGGCUAGAGUCCGGAAGAGGAGAGUGGAAUUCCCGGUGUAGCGGUGAAAUGCGCAGAUAUCGGGAAGAACACCUAUGGCGAAGGCAGCUCUCUGGGACGGUACUGACGCUGAGACGCGAAAGCGUGGGGAGCGAACAGGAUUAGAUACCCCCGUAGUCC
rnacentral:rRNA from 1 species